CUAUGAUGAGUCCUGAAAUUUGAUAUUAAAUGAAAUGUCAGAUAAUGAAACUGUAAAUCCUGUCUUCUUAAAAGUAACUGAAUGAACUGCUGAAAAUAACCCAUCAUCUGGAGGAGCAGCCAGGUUAGAUGCUAAUAAUGGCAUUUCCCAAACAGAUAGUGAUGCAGAUUUUUUGUAUAUGGUAUACUGGGACCCCAUUGCUGACCUGAAUGCAAGAUGAGGAAUGAAAUAGGUUUAAGUAAUACAGAAAAUCUAAUACAUUUAAGAUGAUUAUUGUUUGCCUGUCGCCUUAUAGAGCCUUCCUAACCCCAGGGGAUCACUGGAGAAGAUAACUAUGAUGCACACAUCAUAGGCUGGGAAAUAUGCUGGAGCUUCUGAUGACUUACUUGGAGGGGCAAAACAACUAUUUUUGUACUAUUUCCGUUAAGUGUCUAAUAAAUGUUGUCAUUUUUUAUACUGCAUAUUAAAGUUGUUUAAGUAUAAGAUGAGCACCAAAGAAAAUCAAAAUUGGAUGAAUACAAAUGAUUCUGUAAAUAUUUGAAGCUUAAUUAGCUGGUAAUAUUUUAACAAAAUAUAUAGGAAAAGCCAGCUUGUUUAUUCAGUUCACCAUUAAGAGCUAUGCUGUAAUGUGUUACUUGACAAUGUGGUACUGCAUGCCUCUGAUUUUAUAAUCUGUUGACUCAAAUCACAGACUGUCAAGCACAUUUCAAGAUUAUCCAUGUUUGCAUGUCAGAUUAUAUUUUUUUGGGAACAUGGCUUCUAUUUAUUCUUAACUCUGCUGCUGAUUUUCUCAGAUUCCUGCCAUAUGCUACACGUCACAGGUUUUCAUGUUGAACUCAGCAUUGCAGCCAGCUUUAUGCAGGUCAUAACUACCUCAGUAUAAAGCAGAAGUGGAGAAGGGAAGUAAUAAGAACCAGAAAGCACAAAUCAGUGUUCACUGUCAUUGCAGUCUCCUAUCUUCUGGGCAUUUUUGGUAGGUAAGUGAUGAGGUUAUCAACCACUAAAUUCAAUCUGAAGCCAGCUGACAUUUGAUGUGAGUCAGAGCCAGAGCUGGCAGCACAGUGGUACAAUGUAUUUCCAAUUAGCAAAUAUUUUAAUGUGCACUGGCAUAUCCUUCAAUCAGCUGUUCUCCCAGAUCUUCUUGUUUACUUUGCUGUGAAGGAAGCUUGUUUGUGAGAAGGUUUCGAUUUCACUGUUGACAGGCAGGUGAUGGGAUAGCAGCUUCUGUCUGUGUUUAAACCUCAAGGACACAGAUCCUCACAAACAGUGCACCUCACAAGCAAGCUCUCCUCUCCUUACAAAGUUUCCAAUAUCCAGGCUAAAACAGGGAUCAAUACUGUGCAACAGGGACAGUCAUGGCUUUCUUGCAGACGAGGAAUGUAGAAGACCUAUCUGCAUCUCUUGAACAAUUUCUGUGCUUGCUCAACAUUUUUGAAACACUCAGUGAAGUAAGGAUCUUCUUGUGAAUCAAAUCCACAUUGGCAGAGUUCACAGAGAAUAAUAAAUCUGUAUACUGUAAUAAAACA
rnacentral:lncRNA from 1 species